rnacentral:rRNA from 1 species
GGCGUGCCUAACACAUGCAAGUCGAACGGAGAUAUUUAUUUCGGUAGAUAUCUUAGUGGCGCACGGGUGAGUAACGCGUGAACAACCUGACCUUCAGAGGGGGAUAACACCUGGAAACAGAUGCUAAUACCGCAUGAGACCACAUUGUCGCAUGACAGAGGGGUCAAAGGAGAAAUCCGCUGAAGGAGGGGUUCGCGUCCCAUUAGGUAGUUGGUGAGAUAACAGCCCACCAAGCCGACGAUGGGUAGCCGAGCUGAGAGGCUGAUCGGCCACACUGGAACUGAGACACGGUCCAGACUCCUACGGGAGGCAGCAGUGGGGAAUAUUGGGCAAUGGGCGAAAGCCUGACCCAGCAACGCCGCGUGAGGGAAGAAGGUUUUCGGAUUGUAAACCUCUGUCCUUGGUGACGAAGGAAGUGACGGUAGCCAAGGAGGAAGCCCCGGCUAACUACGUGCCAGCAGCCGCGGUAAUACGUAGGGGGCGAGCGUUGUCCGGAAUGACUGGGCGUAAAGGGCGCGUAGGCGGCCGAUUAAGUUAGAGGUGAAAGUCCAGCUUUCAAGGUUGGAAUUGCCUUUAAUACUGAUUGGCUUGAGUGCGGAAGAGGUAAGUGGAAUUCCCAGUGUAGCGGUGAAAUGCGUAGAGAUUGGGAGGAACACCAGUGGCGAAGGCGACUUACUGGGCCGUAACUGACGCUGAGGCGCGAAAGCGUGGGGAGCGAACAGGAUUAGAUACCCUGGUAGUCCACGCGGUAAACGAUGAAUGCUAGGUGUAGGGGGUAUCGACCCCUCCUGUGCCGGAGUAAACACAAUAAGCAUUCCGCCUGGGGAGUACGGCCGCAAGGUUGAAACUCAAAGGAAUUGACGGGGGCCCGCACAAGCAGCGGAGCAUGUGGUUUAAUUCGACGCAACGCGAAGAACCUUACCAGGUCUUGACAUCCAGUAAAAGCUGCAGAGAUGCAGUGUGAGCUUGCUCAUACUGAGACAGGUGGUGCAUGGUUGUCGUCAGCUCGUGUCGUGAGAUGUUGGGUUAAGUCCCGCAACGAGCGCAACCCCUACUUUUAGUUACUAACGUUUAGGGCGAGGACUCUAGAAGGACUGCCGGGGACAACUCGGAGGAAGGUGGGGACGACGUCAAAUCAUCAUGCCCCUUAUGACCUGGGCUACACACGUGAUACAAUGGCCGUUAACAACGAGCAGCAAACCCGCGAGGGGGAGCGAAAAUCCAAAAACGGUCUCAGUUCGGAUUGCAGGCUGCAACUCGCCUGCAUGAAGUUGGAAUUGCUAGUAAUCGCAGGUCAGCAUGCCGCGGUGAAUACGUUCCCGGGC